rnacentral:tRNA from 1 species
GGGGCCAUAGCUCAGUUGGUUAGAGCGUCCGCCUGUCACGCGGAAGGUCGCGAGUUCGAGUCUCGUUGGCCCCG